CAACUUAAAAAUGGCCAAGGGAUAAAAACAGACAUUUCUCCAAGAAAGAUGUUCAAAUGACCAAGAAGCACAUGAAAAAAUUCUUGAUAUCAUUAGUCAUCAAACAAUUGCAAAUGAAAACUACCAUGAAGUAGCACUUCACAUACACUAAUAGGGCUAGAAUCAAAAAGCCAGGUAAUGAGUGCUGGCAAGGAUGUGGAGAAACAGAAACCCUCAUACACUGACCCUGCUAGUGUGAAUGUAAAGUGGUACCAUUACUUUGGGAAACAGUCUGGCAGUUGUUCAAAUGAUUAAAUACACAGUUACCAUGUGACCCAGCAAUUCCACUCUCAGGUAUAUACCAAAAUAAGUGAAAACAUAUGUCCACACAGAACCUUGUACAUGAAUGUUCAUAGCAGCAUUAAUCCUAAUAGUCAAAAGGUAGAAGCACUCUAAAUGUUCAACUGGUGGAUGAAUAAACAAAACAUGGCAUAUUCAUACAAUGGAAUAUUAUGCAGCCAUGAAAAGAAAUGGAAUGCUGAUAGUGCUACAACUUGGAUGAACCUUGAAAACGUUAUGCUACAUGAAAGAAGUUAGUUACAAAGGCCACAUAUUGUAUGAUCUCACUCAUGUGAAUAAAGAAACCUAUCGGGCAGAAAAUAGUGAUAUUUUUUAAGAGCCAGGAGGCAUAUAAAUGUUCUCAGGCCACCAUCUUGAACCAAGAGGUAUCAGAACCAAGAAAAGUGUUAAAUGCUUAAUCGCCAGCAACACUACUCUUGUACUUUGGGACUUUUAUUAGAUAAAGUAACUGUUCCUUGAACACAAGCACUGCCAUACCAGAAAGUCGAUGUGAUCGCAGAAAGGGCGGCUAAGUGACUCACAGGUGAAAAGCUGUUACAGCGUGGAUCUGCUGGACAAAGGGAAGAUUCAUGUCCUGAGAGGGACGGAACCUGACGGCCCAAGAUUUCAUCACACUACUCAGAACUGCAGGCAAGUUAAAACUUACGCAUUGUUUAUUUCUGGAAUUUUCCGUUUAGUAUUUUCGGCACAGGGUUGAUGGCAGGUAACAAACCAUGGAAACUGAAACUGUGGAUAAAGGGUGACUACCGUACCACACUGAUGUGAUGAACAUAUAGUGCGUUCCAAUAUCUGGUAAGUAAGUCCGCUCUCAAUUUUUUUAUCUUCAUAACUUUAUUAUCUUUUCUAAGA
rnacentral:lncRNA from 1 species